rnacentral:rRNA from 1 species
AUUGAACGCUGGCGGCAGGCCUAACACAUGCAAGUCGAGCGGAUGAAGGGAGCUUGCUCCUGGAUUCAGCGGCGGACGGGUGAGUAAUGCCUAGGAAUCUGCCUGGUAUUGGGGUAUAACGUCCGGAAACGGGCGCUAAUACCGCAUACGUCCUGAUGGAGAAAGUGGGGGAUCUUCGGACCUCACGCUAUCAGAUGAGCCUAGGUCGGAUUAGCUAGUUGGUGGGGUAAAGGCCUACCAAGGCGACGAUCCGUAACUGGUCUGAGAGGAUGAUCAGUCACACUGGAACUGAGACACGGUCCAGACUCCUACGGGAGGCAGCAGUGGGGAAUAUUGGAAAAUGGGCGAAAGCCUGAUCCAGCCAUGCCGGGUGUGUGAAGAAGGUCUUCGGAUUGUAAAGCACUUUAAGUUGGGAGGAAGGGCAGUAAGUUAAUACCUUGCUGUUUUGACGUUACCAACAGAAUAAGCACCGGCUAACUUCGU